rnacentral:rRNA from 1 species
GACGAACCGUGCGAACGUUAUUCGGAAUCACGUUGGGACGUUAAAGGGAGCGUGAGGUCGGGCUAUCAAGUCAUUGGGGUGAAUACCCACGGCUCAACCGUGGAACUGCCUUAGAUACUGACCGGCCUCGAGGGAGAUAUGGGGCAGUGGCGGAACUUGGUAGGUGGAGCGGUGAAAUGCGUUGAUAUCUACAGGAACUCCGGUGGCGAAAGCGGACGUGCUGGACUCUACUUCUGACGCUGAGGCUCGAAAGCUAAGGGGAGCGAAACGG